GACGAACGCUGGCGGCGUGCCUAAUACAUGCAAGUCGAGCGGACAGAUGGGAGCUUGCUCCCUGUAUGUUAGCGGCGAGACGGGUGAGUAAGCACGUGGGUAACCUGCCUGUAAGACUGGGAUAACCCCGGGAAACCGGGGCUAAUACCGGAUGGUUGCCUGAACCGCAUGGUUCAGACAUAAAAGGUGGCUUCGGCUACCACUUACAGAUGGACCCGCGGCGCAUUAGCUAAAGUUCGGUGAGGUAACGGCUCACCAAGGCGACGAUGCGUAGCCGACCUGAGAGGGUGAUCGGCCACACUGGGACUGAGACACGGCCCAGACUCCUACGGGAGGCAGCAGUAGGGAAUCUUCCGCAAUGGACGAAAGUCUGACGGAGCAACGCCGCGUGAGUGAUGAAGGUUUUCGGAUCGUAAAGCUCUGUUGUUAGGGAAGAACAAGUGCCGUUCAAAUAGGGCGAAGCACCUUGACGGGGUACCUAACCAGAAAGCCACGUCUGCUAAUACGUGCCAGCAGCCGCAUGU
rnacentral:rRNA from 1 species